UACGAACGCUGGCGGCGUGCCUAAUACAUGCAAGUAGAACGCUGACUACUUUAGCUUGCUAGAGUAGAAGGAGUUGCGAACGGGUGAGUAACGCGUAGGUAACCUGCCUACUAGCGGGGGAUAACUAUUGGAAACGAUAGCUAAUACCGCAUAACAGUGUUUAACACAUGUUAGAUGCUUGAAGGAUGCAAUUGCAUCACUAGUAGAUGGACCUGCGUUGUAUUAGCUAGUUGGCGGGGUAACGGCCCACCAAGGCAUCGAUCAGUAGGGGUUCUGAGAGGAAGGUCCCCCACAUAGGAACUGAGACACGGUCCUA
rnacentral:rRNA from 1 species